GUUGGGCAUGGUGGUGCAUGCCUGUAAUCCCAGCAAUUGGGGAGGCUGAGGCUGGAGGAUCACAAGUUCCAAGCCAGUCUCAGCAACUUAGGCCCUGAGCAACUUGGUGAGAACUUGUCUCAA
rnacentral:sRNA from 1 species